GGUCGAUUAGCUCAGUUGGUUAGAGCGUGGUGCUAAUAGAUCACUAUUGGUACGCCAAGGUCAUGGGUUCGACCCCCAUAUUGACCA
rnacentral:tRNA from 1 species